GACGUAGGGGGCCAGCGUUGUUCGGAAUUACUGGGUGUAAAGGGUUCGUAGGCGGUGCGGCAAGUCGGGAGUGAAAUCUCUGGGCUUAACCCAGAGGCUGCUUCCGAAACUGCUGUGCUUGAGUGUGGGAGAGGCGCGUGGAAUUGCAGGUGUAGCGGUGAAAUGCGUAGAUAUCGGGAGGAACACCAAUGGCGAAGGCAGCUCGCUGGGACGUUACUGACGCUGAGACGCGAAAAGCGUGGGGAGCAAACAGGG
rnacentral:rRNA from 1 species